UCCGGUUUAUCACCGGCAGUCACCUUAGAGUGCCCAACUGAAUGCUGGCAACUAAGAUCAAGGGUUGCGCUCGUUGCGGGACUUAACCCAACAUCUCACGACACGAGCUGACGACAACCAUGCACCACCUGUCACCGCCGUCCCCGAAGGGAAGGCCCUAUCUCUAGGGCGGUCGGCGGGAUGUCAAGACCUGGUAAGGUUCUUCGCGUUGCUUCGAAUUAAACCACAUGCUCCACCGCUUGUGCGGGCCCCCGUCAAUUCCUUUGAGUUUCAGUCUUGCGACCGUACUCCCCAGGCGGAGUGCUUAAUGCGUUAGCUGCAGCACUAAGGGGCGGAAACCCCCUAACACUUAGCACUCAUCGUUUACGGCGUGGACUAC
rnacentral:misc_RNA from 1 species